UAAUAAGCCGCUUAAGUGUUUUCAAGUCUUGUAUUGCAUUCAUCAGGAACAAGAGAACACACGAUGUCAAAGAAACGAGGGCUUUCGUUGGAGGAGAAGCGGGAGAAGAUGCUUCAGAUAUUCUAUGAGUCUCAAGACUUCUUCCUGCUUAAGGAACUUGAGAAGAUGGGGCCGAAGAGAGGUGUUAGUCAUUCCUUUUAGCCAUACAGAACUUUUUUGUCGACUUCCUUCAAGAUUGCUGAUGAGCUUGUUUUUGUGCUAUGCUUCGAGAAGAAAUCUUAGCUCAAGCGGGUUACACGGACCAAUAGCCUUCGCAUUUAGAAAUCUCUCUCUUCUUGA